CAAUCACAAAUACUGUCUCAAAUUUUCACCAGGGCAUAAACCUAAUAACAGUAAGAAAUCUUGUUUUCCAUUUUUAAUAUACUGACGCUUCACUUAUAGAGAUCAUCAUAGAUAUUAAUCGAUUUCCGUUUUUGGAAGUAACUCAAACACGUAAAAAAUAACAAACAAAGAUAAAGAAGACGAGAAAGACGCAGAGAAGUUCUAACCAAAAACCAAGUAAUUUAAACAAAUCAGCAAUUCACCCUUAACAACACUUUUUGCGUUUCAACAGAUAAAACACGAUUUCGUUCGCUAAAAGUUCGGAUUCGUAUAUACUGGGAUUGGGAAAUUAGGAAAAGCUUUCUGAACAUGAAAUUGUGUAUAUUGCAUAUGUGGAAAAUUGUUGCUAUUGGCAAACUAACCAUCAACAUUACACUGUAAUAGUGGCCAGUUCAAAAAAAGGACUCUAAAUUUAAAGACGAUACAAGCAUUUUGAUUGGUUACACGAACGUUUGGUGGAGAAAUUUAGCCUCAUUCCCAUACCACCGUUGCCAAAUAAGAUAUUUUCUGGACGUUUCGAAGAUCAAUUUGUGGAGCAUCCGGUACUGUCACAAUGCAAAGAGUGGCAUCAUUUCUUGACCUGCAACGAUGACAAGAUGUGGAAAUCAGGCAAAACGAAACGUGGCACAUUUGUGGGAGUCUCUCAUUGUUGCGCCAUAUCACCGCCUGAAAACACACUGUUGCCAUCUCUUGUAGAUGCUCACAUGGAAAGAUGUUCACAGUUCACGCAUGCAAUGGAUAUUUCGGUGAAGGCACGUCGGAUCUGGUCUUAAAAUAGACGAGACGACAAAAACAACACCGCUAUCAGAAUGUGUUAACCAACUUAAAUUGUACCAUUUUCGGACUGUUUGCUGCAUAUAUACAGGUAAUAAGACACGAAAGUUUGUCUCUGUUUAGUUACAUAUGCAUAAGAAAUAAAUGAAGGACCUUGUGCCUAGCUUGGAGAUACUACAAAUGCCGAUAUAUCAGUAUCUUCUGACUGAUAUUAAAGUACUUAAUCCAUUAUUAUCGUGUUGCAUUUAAAAUCGUAUUUAGUGUCACAUGCAUUUACUACUUCUAACUCACUUAUUAAACUUGUUCAUUACUUAAAAAUAUAUAUGUAUGUAUAUACAUACGUAUGUAUAUAUUUGAAUAUGUAUACUUAUGCCAACAGAAAGAACAUUCUUUGGCAUUUAUUUUUUGAAAAUUAUCUCUUUAAAAUUUUGGCCGCGGCUCCGUCUCAGAGGGUCCAUCCGUUGUGUCCAAUUUUCGAUGUCUCGUUCGUUUCGACGGGUAACUGGUGAAUGACACGCGUGAUGUUUUGUUUCAUUUUUAAAGAAAUUUGGACCGAUGAUUCCACCAGACCACAAACCACGCCAAACCGUUGUUUUUUCUAGAUGAAAUGGCAGCUCUUGAAUCCCUUUAUGUUGCUAUUCGUCCCAAAUACGGCAAUUUUGAAUGUUUACAUACCUAUUGAGCCAGAAAUGGGUCUUGGAGUUUUUCAAGAGCCCAUAGAGCGAAGCGAUGUGACUUGAGAAGGUUUAGAGUUCUUUCACAAGCUGUAUUUGUACGCUUUUAAUUUAGGAUAGCGACGUAAAAUGCGCCAAGCCCUUCCAUACCUCAGACCAAGUUGCUGCGAACGGCGCCGACUAGACUCUCCACGGUCUUCAUAUACACUCUCAACUACAGCUGCUGGCUCUCACGAUGUGUGGAGGUGUUGCGAAUAGUACGCUCAGUAGGCCGAUUAUGUUGACCAUAAGUUGAACAAAGCGCGCGAAACAUUCUUUACAGAACGUGAAUUUUGGUAAUAAAACUGAGCAAUUUGUAAACGUUGAUCAGACGUAAAUCUUUCCAUGAUGGAAUGCCAACAAUAACAUGACGAUUCACGCGUGAUCUGUCAAAGAGAGGCGUCUUUAACAGUUUUUCUAACAUUCACUCAACACACCAGGGUGCAAUGCAAGCACGCAAAGAGUGUAAUGCCCGAAUGAAUGUGUGAAUCGUCGCACCGAUGUUAUUUUCUGUGGUGUAACUUCCUAUAUUAAAGAAGAACAUGAUACACAUACUUAUGAAACAGACUGUAGGGUGCGCUCGAGCGACGUAAUAUGUACUUGUAAUUACAGCAGUACUGCUACUGUGUUGCACAUUUGCUGAUACUCUGCUGAUGUAAGGAAAAAAAUUUAGUGUUACCGAUUAUUUGCAUAAAUUACAAGUGUUGUAAGAAUUUCACACAGAACGUGAUACUUUGACAAAUUUGCAACACUGCUGUCGUGAUUGCCAUCUCGAACGCACCCGUAAUGUACUUAUAAGUAUGGCAUUGUGCAUUAUCGUGAUGAAUAGACCAAAUCAUAUUUUUUAUGCAUAUAGAUUUAUAGUUGUAUUAUAAGAAUUGUUUAUAAGAUAAUAUUGUUAGAAGUACUUUACUUGUUUAGGUAUAAAUUUUAAGUGUUAUUAUUAAUAUUUAAUGUAUUUAAUGUAAUAUGUAUAUAUAAAUAUAGUAUAUUUUGGAUUAUUAUAUACUUUUACUUCUACUAUUAUAUUAUAUAAACAUAUAUGUAUUUAUAUGUCUUUAUAAAUUAAAUAUAUUAAUUAAUUUUAAUCAUUAGUUUAAGUAUACACGUUUUUUCAAUAAAAUAAAGCAAAAUAAUAUAAAAAA